AUGGGGAAGAGAUUGCUCUCAAAAAGCUUCGUCACAUGCCUGGGCUUGAUGACACAAUUUAGGAAUGAGUUUAAUCACCUUAUGAGGGCCCAACAUCCAAAUAUUACCCAAUUGGUUGGCUACUGCUAUAAUAUAGGUCAUCAGCGCAUUAAGUACGGUGGUGAAUAUAUUUUCGCCCUUGUGGAAGAAAGAGUACUCUGCUUUGAAUACUUGCAAGGUGGAAGCCUUGACAAUCAUAUUUCUGAUGAAUCGUGUGGACUCGAUUGGCCCACACGUUUCAAAAUUAUCAAGGGAGUCUGUGAGGGAUUAAAUUACCUACAUAAUGGAUGCAAAGAUCCAAUUUACCAUCUUGACUUGAAACCUGCGAAUGUUUUACUGGACAAGAACAUGUUCCCGAAAAUUGGAGACUUUGGUUUGUCAAGACUCUUUCCUUUAUCACAAACCUAUAUAACAAGCAAAAUUAUAGGAACACCAUAUAUACCAUGCAGUGGAUACAUGCCACCAGAAUACAUUGAGAGACGCGAAAUCACAUCGAAGUAUGAUGUAUUCAGUUUGGGUGUUAUAAUUGUGCGGGUAAUAGCAGGAGAUGAAGGCUACUCCAAAUGUGCAUAUAUGUCUUUGGAAGAUUUUCUUGAGCAUGUACAUGGAAACUGGGGAAAACGGCUGAAGGAAACAAUGGCGUUGCAUACAUCAGAGCAAGUUAAGACGUGCAUUGAAAUAGCGUUAAGGUGUAUGGAGGUUGAUCGUGAGAAAAGGCCUACUAUAGCCGAGAUUGUCGAUGAACUAAACUUGGUUGAUACUGCAGAAAGUUUGCCUACAGGCCAGGUCGCGAACUUCCAAAGCAAGCAAAACUCAAACUCAGAGCGCGGAGGCAGAAUCGUAUUCUCUGCCACCUACAGGCCCCCGGUGCCAUUCGACAUCUUCUCCUGCCCUGUCUCACCUUGGUCCACAGAUGAUGAGCUCCACCUCACCGAUGGUGUGUCUGACAACUACAACGGGAGCCCCAUCCCUCCCGCCGCGCUGAAGACCCUCCUCAAGAGCCCGAAGCUGGCAAACGAGGUUGAUGUGACCGACGCGGAUGUCGACGCCGGCGACGUCUCUGGCCUGGUCUUCGUCUCCGAGAGGGACAAUGGCCUUGAGACGCUAUACAUUGCCAUAUGCUUUAAUGCUGAUAACAAGGUCAAGGUAUUCUCCCUUGCUGACAUCUUUGGAGCCGCCGACUUCAGCAGCAUGCGCCUGGAGGACAGUGGCUGCAUCGGCGGCGGCUACAGCGUGGGAUCUCACAGCGUCGACCACUGUCUCAUCUUCGUCUCCACAAAGGAGCCUGUGCAUGUACGUCGUGGCCCUUGGACCGCCGUGUACAAAACCAACCUUACAACAGGCAUGACGGAGCGCCUCACGCCACAAGGGAUAUUUGAUUUGAGUCCGGCCGUUUCGCCCUCAGGGAAGACGGUAGCAGUGGCGUCAUUUCAGAGCAAGAGUUGGAACGGCGACACUGCGAACCUGAAGACUGACAUCUACGUGAUGAACUUGGAUAGCGACCAGUGUCAGGGCCAGGGGCGCAAGCUAAUCAUCAAGAAUGGCGGCUGGCCAUCCUGGGGCAGCGACGACAUCAUCUUCUUUCAUCGACUCACCAGUAUGGCCCUUCUAUCCAGCCUGAUUGAAACAUUUUGGGCUGUGUUCCGGUACGACAUCAACACCGAGGAGACCGUCCAGGUUACUCCGGGAGGAUUGGAUGCGGUGACUCCUGCGGCCAUAAGCGAGACCAAAGUAGCGGUGGCGACCAUCCGCCAAGAGCACAAGUCCAGCAACGUCCGUGUGCAGGCACAGUACCGGCACAUUGAGAUCUUUGACAUGGAUGUGCCGGGGCUGCCACCGUUGCAGAUCACCCGUAAGAUGAGGCAAAAAGGCGAUCACUACAACCCAUUUGUGCUGGAUGGUGGGAGCUGCAUUGGAUACCACCGCUGCAGGAGUGAGAGUGACCUUGUGCAGAAUGGAGACGACGUCCCUCAGAACUUGCACAGGCUAGAGUCCCCCAUGAGGGACGUCGGUUUACUUCGGGUAUCUGGCAUGUUCCCGACCAUUUCGAAGGACGGCUCCAAGCUCGCCUUUGUUAACAGUGAGUUCAAAGCAGUGUUUGUAGUGGACAGCCAAGGGCUGCGUAUCAUAUACGAGGGAAGGAGCCGAAACUGCGUCUUCUCCCCUGUGUGGAACCAGAACCUUGACAGGGACAUCCUCUAUGUGUGCAUAGGCACCACCUUGAACUCCCACCGACUUGAGAUCUUUGCCAUCUGGAAUGCCUCUGGCCCCGCAACAGGGCAAAAUGUCGUAAGACUCACCAUUGGUGGGUACAACAACGCAUACCCGUCGAGCAACCCAGAUGGCGACAAAUUUGUCUUCAGGUCAACAAGGGAUGGAUUGGCACCGCACAAGAACCUGUACAUAGUGAUAACGAGCAAUUUGGGGAACAUUCGAAGAAGUGGCACAGACAUAACGAAGAAUUCGAGGAACCUUGGCAGACGCGGCUGA
rnacentral:rRNA from 1 species